AAGUAACAUUUUACCGAAGGAAACUUCAAAUGUAUUCGAUUGUAAAAUCUCGAAAACCGAAACAAUUUUGCAACCUAUAUAUAAAAAUUCACCGAAUAGUUGGUAUCUCGAGAAAAGUUCAGAACUGGAUGCUGACGAAGAACUCGAAGAUUUACCUACACCGACCAACAAAUCGCCAAACGUUGGCAAUGAUCCGCGAUCGGUCACAUUAUUAAAAAUCAUGACAUUAAAAUGCGAAUGUCGAUCAUGUGAUAAUAAGAAAUAUACGUCUGAUAUUCAUAUUAGUCGAAACACCGAAAGCGAUUCUUGGAGUUCUCCAGACAUGGAAAACAUGAACAAACGGAAAUCGAUAAACCAACGUAAAUUUAUCGAGAUAAGUUCCGAUGAUUUGAAUUUGUUGUCAGAUUGUAGUGUUAUUGAUUUCAGCAAUGUUAAAGGAAACACAAAGAAUAACAACAAAACAUCAAGUCAUGUUGCACAAUCAUCUUUGAGGGUUAAUUCCGCAACAAAAAAAACAAGCAAUUUAUCUUUCUUCAACGUUUUUUUCGAUAUCGUAUUCUGGCCCUUUGUUUUUCUCCGUGCAAAGCAAUAAUAAUAUGAUUUGCUGCGACAUACGUAUGUAAACGUAUUUUAAAACAUUUGAAAAAUGUGUGUGUGUUUCUUGUUUGUAUCGCUAGAAAAACCUAUGGUUGUUUUGUUUUUUGAGAAAUAUACGUAUUAUUCGACAAUGAGAUAGAAUUCUUUUACACACACAAAUAAUAAUUGU